rnacentral:rRNA from 1 species
UACAGAGGGGGGCAAGCGUUGUUCGGAAUUACUGGGCGUAAAGGGCGCGUAGGCGGCCCGCUAAGUCGAACGUGAAAUCCCCGGGCUCAACCCGGGAACUGCGUCCGAUACUGGCAGGCUUGAAUCCGGGAGAGGGAUGCGGAAUUCCAGGUGUAGCGGUGAAAUGCGUAGAUAUCUGGAGGAACACCGGUGGCGAAGGCGGCCUGCUGGGCAGUUGCUGACACUGAGGCGCGACAGCGUGGGGAGCAAACAGG